rnacentral:lncRNA from 1 species
GUUAUUAUCUCCAUGAUUGUAGUGUUUUAUCUUAUAAUCCCACAAGUUAAAUAGUUAUUUUUUGUCUGACCAAAAACAAAAUGUAAAAAUUUUUGAAAUCAGAAAAUAUAUACACACCCUGUGACUGUGAUGACAACAAUGGAAAAAAACAAAAAAAAUGGAGUUUAAUAUCGUUUAAGGGGCGCUAGGGUCUAGAGAUAGUCAUUAAACCGGAAAUUAAAUUAAACUAAAGAUUAUUAACCCGGUUUGAUCGGUUUCCCUGACAUUAAUUGGAAUUGCCGGUUUCACGAUUUGUGAGUAAAAUUGGUUUAUCUAUCUAUCUCGCUUGACAAAGACGCCGGCGACGAUGAUGACGUCGUUUUGGCCGGCCGUUGGGACUUGGGAGUGUCCAUGCCGACCACUUACGUUGCGGGUAUACUUCAUUCGUAUUUGACAAUUCUGUAUCUUUGAUCUGUCUUUGCUCAUUUCUACUAUGAAUGGGAGUUAGUGGACGAAAUCAAUAAUAGCAUAAAUUUGAGCUUUUGGUUGUGAUUAGUUUACUUUGUUAUGACAAAUUGUUACUUUGGAGCUCUUGAUCUCGAUUUUGGUUAAAAAAGUUUCGAUUAUUUUGUUUGUAAUAGACAAUUGCAGGUUUUAUUAUAUGAUUAGAUUCUAGUUGUUGAGUUUCUGGAGAUUUUUAUACGUGACUGUAGACUCAAAAACUCAAAUCAAGACUUAGAUUUCAUAUAAAUAGGCUGACACAUAUUUGAUAUUUCACAUCCAUUUUUUUCAAGUGAUGAAGAUAUUAACCAAAUUCUGUAACUGAGAACUUUAGUUUCUUACACAUCCUAGUGAGAUACAAGAUGAAGAAGACAAAGAAGAAGAGCCACUAAGUAUUGGUGUUCCAUGGAACAGGUCUGAGAGAUAGUUCUCCAAGUUAUCUGGCUUAAACCUCACCAGCAUCUCUAUGUUUCUCUCCUGGCUCAAUGUUGGUAAGUACUUGCUAUAAAACUCUCUGUAUUCCGGUACAAGUUUCUUUGCUAUGGAAACCUUUAGCUCGUCCCUCAGUUUUGCAUCUGGUAUGACACAUGAUGAUUGUUUCAUAUAAGCUUCUUCGAAUGCCGCGUGAAAUCUCUUGAAAUGUGUUUUGGCCUCCUCUGGUGAUAGUGUUGUGUUGGAUUUCUCUGGUAAAGAGAUGUAGACAUUGGCCCACGCUACCAUUUCGUAGUUUGCAGCAUAGCUUCUGAGUUUUGCUUCGUGCUUUGUGAGCCAAUCUUCUCCUAGGAGGUUCCUGAGGUGAGUUGAACGAACUGUAUCAACCACAAACUGAGUGUUGUUCACGAGGAAGAGGUAAGAGAGAGAAACAUCCUUGUAAUUCUCUGCUUUGAUGUCUAGUUUGCAUAGGAAAACCAGGAUGAGCCAUGCUAGAUGGACCGAUACUGUGUAGUUGUUGUCUUGUUCAUCUUCCAAGAUUGGAGC